CCUGCACCUCCAUGUGUUGGCCCUGCCAGUCAGAUGGGCUUCAUGUCCCGCCUCUUCUACAGACCCAACUCCUAUUGGUUUGUCACGGCUGACCAGUUGAUUCAGCAGCUGAACUCUAAGGGAGAGACCACCUGAGCGGUGGGUUGCAGUCUGGGCUGGUUCAGUGAGAAACGGGGUUACCUUACUAGUAGUGGUGGGCAGGUCAGGACUGGUCUGGUCUCCCUCCGUGGUUCUCUGUGUGAGUGUACUGUACUCCCCAGCAGGUUACAGUGAGACUAGUGAUGAGGUUUUUAAUUCUAGUAUCAAGCUGAACAGCCAAAUCAGAAAUUAAGCCAAAUAUUUUUUCCUUCCUUGUCAUUUUAAAGACUUUUUUGAAAAUGACCAAUAGUUACGCUUUAUUUUUUUACCACAGAAUAUGAAAUAGUAAUGACUGGAAUGAUUUUGGGGUCAAUUUCCGUUGGUAUAGAAAGAUAUCAAAAGUGAUACAAAUAUACAUGUUUGUGUUUAGGCUCUAGUAUUAAUGUAAAGAACGAUUAGUAACGUAAAGGCAUUCCUAAGUGAUCAUAAUCAGGAGACCUGAGAAUGGUAAGUGAAUGGGAUGUAUUGGGACUGGGAAACCUACUGUAAGUCUCAUUGCAGGAUACCUUUGAUAAAGAUGAGUAAUACAUGUGCAUUGUGCCACUGGCUGGCAUCCCAAAUGGCACCUUUUCCUAUAGGGCUCAAAAGUAGUGUAAUGAAUAGGGCGCCAUUUGCGAUGCAGUCGCUGUCAACAGUAUCCCGUAUUAUGAGGUAUAAUAACUGAAAGCAGAGAAAUAUAAUGAGAAGUAUGAGCUCUUUUAGGACUCAGUCAAGUGGUCAGAAAAGCAACUGUUUUGCAUGAAUGAUAAUCAAUCAUAUACGAUCAAAGGGUAAAAUGGAAGUGUAGACUGGAUUGUGGAGGUUUAAUAUAGUCACUGAAUAAUACCUACAUUACUAAUUCUCAGUCAUCCAUAAACAAUUGUUUCUUGAGUCACACAUUCUUUUAACACAAUACUCUACAUUAAUUGUGUUAUUUUAUUAUGAAUGUUGGAGAGUGAUUCUUAAUUUUAACGAAGUAAAAAAAAAUAACUCAACGAAGUAAUGUAUGUUUAGUGUAUGCUGCUGCAUGAAAUUGAGAGCGUCAUGUGUUUGUGUUUUGGUUGACGUGUCUGUAACAUAAUAAUGGUUGUUCAUGGUUAAAUAAAUGAUGCAUUGCUGCCUCCACAA